rnacentral:snoRNA from 1 species
UACCCAUGGUGUGGGCACUGGUUAGUGUAGCUCUCAUAUACUUCACCAAAACUCUCAUUGCUAUGUUGAGUGAAGCUGAAGAUUUGGUUUCUUAGCUU